AUGGGGGUAUCCCUCCCGGUGCAGCAGAGCCACAGGCCCCCUUCGGUCGUUGUGACAGCCCUCCAUCCGAUGCAUCAAAUUAAGCCGCUUAUACAGUCGCAAGGGGGACUCUCCCUUCCGGUGCAGCAGAGCCACAGGCCCCCUUCGGUCGUUGUGACAGCCCUCCAUCCGAUGCAUCAAAUUAAGCCGCUUAUACAGUCGCAAGGGGGACUCUCCCUUCCGGUGCAGCAGAGCCGCAGCUCCCUUCGGACGCAGCGAGAGUCCCUCCAUCAGUCGCGUUUUCUUGCCUACUCCGUAUCGGACGGGGCUCCCCUACCGGUGCAGCAGACCCACAGCUCCCUUCGGUCGCAGGGUGAACCCCCCGUCUGAGUUAUGUUGCAUGCUCAAGGGCGGACCGGGAUCUCCCUCCCGGGGGAACACAGCCGCUGGCUCCCUUCGGUCGCAGCAGGAGCCCUCCAUCCGAUGCAUCAAACCGUUCCUCGAAUCUUCUUGCCUAUUCUGCAUCUGAUGGGGCUCUCCCUUCCGGUGCAGCAGACCCACGGCUCCCUUCGGUCGCAGGGUGAACCCCCCGUCUGAGUUAUGUUGCAUGCUCAAGGGCGGAUAGGGUUCUCCCUCCCGGGGAAAUAGAGCUGCUGGCUCCCUUCGGUCGCAGUGAGAGCCCUCCAUCAGACGCAUCAAGCCAUGCCUCGCUGCGCAAGGGGGACUCGCCUUUCCGGUGCAGCAGAGCCGCAGCUCCCUUCGGACGCAGCAAAAGUCCCUCCAACAGUCGUAUUCUAGUUAGCGUCAAUCAGGGCUCUCCCCUCCGGGGCAGCACUCCUGCUGCAGAGUUGCGAACCCCCUACGGAGGCUGGGAGAACCCUCAGAGGCAAAAAACCGUGCCUCCAUAAACCCGCAAUGGGGGACUCCCCCUUCCGGUGCAGCAGAGCCGCAGCUCCCUUCGGAUGCAGCGGGAGUCCCUCCAACAGUCGCAUCUCUUUGCCUUCUCAGCAUCGGACUAGGGCUCCUCUUCCGGUGCAGCAGACCCACAGCUCCCUUCGGUCGCAGUGUGAACCCCCCAUCUGAGUUAUGUUGCAUGCUCCACGAUGGCUAGGGAUCUCCCUCCCGAUGGGGUACAGCCGCUGGCUCCCUUCGGUUGCAUUAGGAGCCCUUCAUCCGACGCGCCAAACCGCGGCUCCAAUCUCAUUGCCUAUUUAGCAUCUGACGGGGCUCUCCCUUCUGGUGCAGCAGACCCACGGCUCCCUUCGGUCGCAGUGUGAACCCCCCGUCCGAGUUAUGUUGCAUACUCUAUGGCGGCCAGGGAUCUCCCUCCCGAUGGGAUACAGUCGCUGGCUCCCUUCAGUCGCAGUGAGAGCCCUCCAUCAGAUGCAACAAACCGCGCCUCGUACUCAGCUGCAAGAGGGACUCUCCCUUCCGGUGCAGCAGAGCCGCAGCUCCCUUCGGAGGCAGCAAGAGUCCCUCAUUUCUUGAUAUCUGGCAUUGUGCUCCUCCCAUAAGCGGCAUGGAGGGCUCGCUGGUAAGACGUUGCGAGCAGCAGCUCUCGUCGAACACUGCACGGGCUCUCCAGGUCGCUCUGCAUUUUCUUCCCAACACGCAUAUUUUGGGGGGCAACUAAAGUUUAUCUCUCUGGCUGCUGUCCUAUGGCUUUAAGCUUCUUUUGGGGAGUUAUUUGGGUUCGGGCUAUGCUCCGGGCCCGGACCCCUCCCCCAGGACAGCACGCCAAACUAUGCCUACUAUUUGCCUUCAGAUUAGAUGUAAGGGUGAACUCGUGAAAUGUGGUUUUAUUAACAAAGUUCGGGAGAAGCACGAUCAGAUAAUCAUCCAAUUUGGUACAGGUGCAUCUCGUUUAGCUAAUCAUCUUAUAGCACGCACGCGUAUAUAUAUCCAGUCUUCCUACCUCCUGUCCCACGACAGUUUUUCGGCAACCCUCCUCCACCCCAACUCCUCACUUCUAAUCUAUUUAUCCCAAAUUGGGAUAGGGGGAGUUAUUUGGGUUCGGGCUAUGCUCCGGGCCCGGACCCCUCCCCCAGGACAGCACGCCAAACUAUGCCUACUAUUUGCCUUCAGAUUAGAUGUAAGGGUGAACUCGUGAAACGGAUGCUGGCCAAAUAAAUGAAAGGCUGAUAAUUAAAAAUCAUCGAGACAAAGGACUCUCUCAGUUUCCCUCUCUCUUUCAUUCUCGCCACAACCCUGUAAAGGUGUCACAGUAAGA
rnacentral:lncRNA from 1 species